AUACGUAGGUGGCGAGCGUUACUCGGAAUUACUAGGCGUAAAGCGUAUGUAGGCGGUUGUAUAAGUCUAUGGUGAAAUUUCCUGGCUCAACUGGGAAGGGACAUAGAUACUGUAUAGCUUGAGUGUUGGAGGGGGAGACGGAAUUCCUGGUGUAGCGGUGAAAUGCGUAGAUAUCAGGAGGAACACCGAUGGCGAAAGCAGUCUCCUGGCCAAAUACUGACGCUGAGGUACGAAAGCUAGGGUAGC
rnacentral:rRNA from 1 species